GUACUGAUGAAGAGUCCCAAACUAGGACGAAACAACCUUCCCGUAC
rnacentral:hammerhead_ribozyme from 1 species